GACGAACGCUGGCGGCGGGCUUAACACAUGCAAGUCGAACGGAAAGGCCCUGCUUUUGUGGGGUGCUCGAGUGGCGAACGGGUGAGUAACACGUGAGUAACCUGCCCUUGACUUUGGGAUAACUUCAGGAAACUGGGGCUAAUACCGGAUAGGAGCUCCUGCUGCAUGGUGGGGGUUGGAAAGUUUCGGCGGUUGGGGAUGGACUCGCGGCUUAUCAGCUUGUUGGUGGGGUAGUGGCUUACCAAGGCUUUGACGGGUAGCCGGCCUGAGAGGGUGACCGGCCACCUUGGGCCUGAGAUACGGCCCAGACUCCUACGGGAGGCAGCAGUGGGGAAUCUUGCACAAUGGGCGGAAGCCUGAUGCAGCAACGCCGCGUGCGGGAUGACGGCCUUCGGGUUGUAAACCGCUUUCGCCUGUGACGAAGCGUGAGUGACGGUAAUGGGUAAAGAAGCACCGGCUAACUACGUG
rnacentral:rRNA from 1 species